CGCGGCCUAUCAGCUUGUUGGUGAGGUAAUGGCUCACCAAGGCAUCGACGGGUAGCUGGUCUGAGAGGACGAUCAGCCACACUGGGACUGAGACACGGCCCAGACUCCUACGGGAGGCAGCAGUGGGGAAUCUUGCGCAAUGGGCGAAAGCCUGACGCAGCGAUGCCGCGUGGGGGAUGAAGGCUCUCGGGUCGUAAACCCCUUUCAGCAGGGACGAAAAUGACGGUACCUGCAGAAGAAGCCCCGGCCAACUACGUGCCAGCAGCCGCGGUAACACGUAGGGGGCAAGCGUUGUCCGGAUUUAUUGGGCGUAAAGGGCUCGUAGGCUGUUCAGUAAGUCAGGUGCGAAAACCCAAGGCUCAACCUUGGGACGCCACUUGAUACUGCUGUGACUAGAGUCCGGUAGAGGAGAUUGGAAUUCCUGGUGUAGCGGUGAAAUGCGCAGAUAUCAGGAGGAACACCAACGGCGAAGGCAGAUCUCUGGGCCGGUACUGACGCUGAGGAGCGAAAGCAUGGGGAGCAAACAGGAUUAGAUACCCUGGUAGUCCAUGCCGUAAACGUUGGGCACUAGGUGUGGGGUCUAUUCAGCGGAUUCCGUGCCGCAGCUAACGCAUUAAGUGCCCCGCCUGGGGAGUACGG
rnacentral:rRNA from 1 species